rnacentral:lncRNA from 1 species
GGUUGGUUUGUUCGAACGGAGAAGAAGAGUGACAGAGAGAGUGAGAGAGUCGUGAGGGAAGAGAGAGAGAGACAGGGUACGGGAAAGAGGGAAGGAUUUGAGGUGUGUGGGAUCCUACCCAAUCCCAAACUACAAAAUUCUAUCAUAAAAUUUAAGUCUAAGUCUCCACUCUAAUUACCAAAGUUUAGGAGCUUAGAUAUAACGAACGUGAAAAUUAUACCUUAGUCACGUAUUAGGGACAUUUCCGUUAAUUACCAUCACGAGUGUAAAACUUUGGGACGGGCUGUGACAAUCUACCCACCUUAUAAAAUUUCGUCCCCGAAAUUUCAUACAAUCAUAAUCCACCUAUACUCAUAAAAUUUCCUCGGGUAAAUCUCUCUCAUCCGAUUCUCUUUCUCCAACAUAAUUUUCUACUGAAUUAUUUUCUUCACAAAGCUUUUACCACUUACUCUGUCUUAAUUCUCAGGACCUUCUUUUUCCAAUCCAAAGUCGUCCUUGGUUCCUUAUCAAGUCGAAUCCAAUUUAAUUCUCAAUAGUUGCACCAGAAUCUCAUAUGACGAAUCUGCCACCUAGUGACAACGCAUCGAACCCAAAAUACAUUAAGUACCUUAGCCAACUCUGAAGACAUCACCACUUGUAUGCAACUUUAUUGAUUCCUUUAGUGAUAAAAAAUGGUCUGAUGUGUCUAAAUCUUAUCUUGUCUCCUUUCCAAUUCUCGCCAUUUCUGUUCGUGGUGAAAUUUCCAAAAAUAUCAAACCAUUUCCCUUACACACUCGAUUAGUGGCAUAUCCAUCUGUUAGUCUCUUUUGCCAUUCCUGGCUACCUUCAGGUUAAACUUUGUUGAUGCACAAAAUCAGCGAAGACUUUGGUACAACAGAAAGUGUCAGGUUUUGUGACCUUCGCUUGGUUGCUUCGGUCACUAGUGAGGAUAAGUACGUAAAUGAAUAGAGACAGAGAAGCAAACACAGGAUGUACGUGGUUCACCCAGAUUGGCUACGUCCACGGAGUAGAGGAGUUCUUAUUAGUAGUGAAGGGCUUACACAAGUACAAAGGAUCAAGCUCUCAAUUUAGUGAGUUCUUGUGAAUGAUUUAACACAAAAUGGCAUUAGGCAAUAUUUUGGGGGAAUGACCCCUAUUUAUAGAAAAACUUGUAGCUUUGUCACAUUGACAUGUGUCAUGUUGUGAUUGGUUCUUGAUGUCGACACGUGCUGCGCUCUGAUUGGCUUCUAAUCUUGACACGUGUCGAGUAGUGAUUGGCCGCCUGGUCGGAGGGGAACUCUUCUGGGUCCUUGACAG